GCCCUUUUCUUCGCGGCCACACCAAUAGGAGGCGGGAUGCCGGGACUACACCCCACCCUUGAAGCAUGGAGGCCCUGUCAUGUGCCGGGGGUCCAGGAGGAAUUGUGACAAAGUCACUGCCCUCAUCAAAGUGCAGCCUUCCCUAACCUGGCGUCUUGCUCGUUCUCUGCUGUCUGGCAAGAGGGGACACGGGGGACACGGUGGCCAAAGAUGCCAGCCUGACGAAGAUGCCUUUCAACAGAGAGUGAGACCAUGGAGGGGACUUUGAAUCUAGAGCGAUCAAACUCCUGAGGAAGAUGAGCGUGUGGGGCCGCUGUUGGAGUGGACCUGGCCUUUCCCUCUGCGGACUGCCUGCUUGUUCUUUUUAUGAAGCUAGCAUUUAUGGAGUGUGCUCAGCACUUUAUAUGGUUUAUGUAAUUAAUCUUGACAAUCUCCUUGAUUUGCAGACAAGGAAAAACUGAGGCACAGCAGUUAAUUUGGCCGAUAUAAUAAAAUUAGUAAAUGGCA